CAGGGGGAAAAAUUCAGGCCAAAGAGUCUUUACUUUUAAAUGAUUAUUGAUACACCAAGUAAUAACAUGUAACAAGCUCUUGAAUUCUAUCAUCUAGUAAUUUUGGUUAAGAGAAACUAAAAGCAGUCCGAAUACACUAGUAUUCACUAUUCUAACCAUUAGCAAGAAUGGACGACUUUAAGGCUGGCUGCUGCUUCACACAGGUUAC